rnacentral:lncRNA from 1 species
AAAAAAAGAGCCGUUUUCUUCCUCCGGGUUCCACCGCCACCGCCUCUCCUCGAGCCUCCUUCCCCUUCCCCUCCGCAGAAAAGCGAAUGACGUGGCCAAAGCCAAAUCGGAGAGACCAAUCUCCCAAAAAGCAAAGAAGGCUACCACCUCCACCUCGCCGUUGCCAACGCUGCCUUCCGUCCACCGCGCCGCGCGCUCCUCGGAUCUCCACCGCCGCCGCACCUUCACCGCGCUGCCCGUACACCGCACCGCCUCGACCGCCGCCUCGGCCCCUCGCCUCCACCGCGCCUCCGCACCUCCACCGCGCUGCCCGUACACCGCGCCGCCUCGGCCGCCACCUCCGUCACCA